rnacentral:rRNA from 1 species
GAUGAACGCUGGCGGCGUGCCUAAUACAUGCAAGUCGAGCGAACGGACGAGAAGCUUGCUUCUCUGAUGUUAGCGGCGGACGGGUGAGUAACACGUGGAUAACCUACCUAUAAGACUGGGAUAACUUCGGGAAACCGGAGCUAAUACCGGAUAAUAAUUUGAACCGCAUGGUUCAAAAGUGAAAGACGGUCUUGCUGUCACUUAUAGAUGGAUCCGCGCUGCAUUAGCUAGUUGGUAAGGUAACGGCUUACCAAGGCAACGAUGCAUAGCCGACCUGAGAGGGUGAUCGGCCACACUGGAACUGAGACACGGUCCAGACUCCUACGGGAGGCAGCAGUAGGGAAUCUUCCGCAAUGGGCGAAAGCCUGACGGAGCAACGCCGCGUGAGUGAUGAAGGUCUUCGGAUCUUAAAACUCUGUUAUUAGGGAAGAACAUAUGUGUAAGUAACUGUGCACAUCUUGACGGUACCUAAUCAGAAAGCCACGGCUAACUACGUG